rnacentral:lncRNA from 1 species
GGUAGAAGGGUUUUUUAGACUGUGAGACUAAGGAAAGGUAGUGGGGUACUAGGCAGACCAGGCUUAAGCAGAGAGUUAAUGACAGAGAAGAGCCGCCCUACAAAGAUGAGGCGAUGGCUUGCCCCGUGUGGAUCCCUACGGCAGAUGCUUUUAGAAGUACGAAGUUAAAUGCAGAGCCCUG